rnacentral:misc_RNA from 1 species
UCCAUUCUUGAGCACCUUUUCACUAAUGGAAUCAACAAAGCUUUUCUCCUCCCCACAGCAAACUCCACGGCAACAGUUUUCCACCAGGAAACCGUGCUGUCGGCGACUAAGCAUAGCCAUGGCCUUUAAUAAACGAGACCAUAACGAUCAUGGUAGCCUUGUGGAUGAUAACAUGAUUGUACUGAGAGUACGUAUGAGGGAGAUGAAGAUGAUGGAGGAAUUUGAUUAUCCACCUUCCCAUUGGAUGGAGUGGGAGAAGCAAUAUUAUGCGCACCAUAACUACAAUACUGAUAUUUGUGAAGCUGUAGGUCUGCUACAAAAUUUCUUGAUGAAUAUCAGGCCAAGUCUGGCUUUAGGGAUUCUAGCACUUCUUUCCACUUGUGUGCUCAUCUCUACUGGGGUGGUUUUCUCCCAUGCCAUAGAGAUCACUAAGAGAAUUUUGUCUGGGUUUCAUCUUGGCUAAUAUCCAUGUACCUAUGAAAAAACUCCAUUUAAGUUCAAUGGUUUCUUGUUAUGAUAUUAUUAAUUAAAUUUUAACAUAUGGUAAGGUGUAUUAUUAGAUCCUCAUUUAUGUUUGGAAAGUUAUGAUUUUUAAGGAA